rnacentral:rRNA from 1 species
UACGUAGGGACCAAGCGUUGUCCGGAAUCAUUGGGCGUAAAGAGCGUGUAGGCGGCUUGUUAAGUCUUGCGUGAAAUCUCGGGGCUCAACCCCGAGCGGUCGUGAGAAACUGGCAGGCUAGAGUGCGGGAGAGGAGAGUGGAAUUCCUGGUGUAGCGGUGAAAUGCACAGAUAUCAGGAAGAACACCCGUGGCGAAGGCGGCUCUCUGGAACGCAACUGACGCUGAGACGCGAAAGCGUGGGGAGCAAACAGG